rnacentral:rRNA from 1 species
CCCUUAGAUGUCCUGGGCCGCACGCGCGCUACACUGAUGCAUUCAACGAGUAUUUCCUUGGCCGAGAGGCCUGGGCAAUCUUUUAAACCUGCAUCGUGAUAGGGAUAGAUUAUUGCAAUUAUUAAUCUUGAACGAGGAAUUCCUAGUAAACGCAAAUCAUCAAUUUGCAUUGAUUACGCCCCUGCCCUUUGUACACACCGCCCGUCGCACCUACCGAUUGAAUGGUCCGGUGAAAUCUCGGGAUUGUGGCCAGUUCACUUUAUUGGGAGUUGGCUGCGAGAACUUGCUUAAACCUUAUCAUUUAGAGGAAGGUGAAGUCGUAACA